AGAGUUUGAUCUUGGCUCAGGACGAACGCUGGCGGCGUGCUUAAUACAUGCAAGUAGAACGCUGAAGACUGGUGCUUGCACUAGUCAGAUGAGUUGCGAACGGGUGAGUAACGCGUAGGUAACCUACCUCAUAGCGGGGGAUAACUAUUGGAAACGAUAGCUAAUACCGCAUGACAAUUAAGUACUCAUGUACUAAAUUUAAAAGGAGCAAUUGCUUCACUAUGAGAUGGACCUGCGUUGUAUUAGCUAGUUGGUGAGGUAACGGCUCACCAAGGCCACGAUACAUAGCCGACCUGAGAGGGUGAUCGGCCACACUGGGACUGAGACACGGCCCAGACUCCUACGGGAGGCAGCAGUAGGGAAUCUUCGGCAAUGGGGGCAACCCUGACCGAGCAACGCCGCGUGAGUGAAGAAGGUUUUCGGAUCGUAAAGCUCUGUUGUUAGAGAAGAACGGUAAUGGGAGUGGAAAAUCCAUUACGUGACGGUAACUAACCAGAAAGGGACGGCUAACUACGUGCCAGCAGCCGCGGUAAUACGUAGGUCUCGAGCGUUGUCCGGAUUUAUUGGGCGUAAAGCGAGCGCAGGCGGUUAUUUAAGUCUGAAGUUAAAGGCCGUGGCUCAACCAUGGUUCGCUUUGGAAACUGGAUAACUUGAGUGCAGAAGGGGAGAGUGGAAUUCCAUGUGUAGCGGUGAAAUGCGUAGAUAUAUGGAGGAACACCGGUGGCGAAAGCGGCUCUCUGGUCUGUAACUGACGCUGAGGCUCGAAAGCGUGGGGAGCAAACAGGAUUAGAUACCCUGGUAGUCCACGCCGUAAACGAUGAGUGCUAGGUGUUAGGCCCUUUCCGGGGCUUAGUGCCGCAGCU
rnacentral:rRNA from 1 species